UCCCAGACUCCUACGGGAGGCAGCAGUGAGGAAUAUUGGUCAAUGGGCGAGAGCCUGAACCAGCCAAGUCGCGUGAGGGAAGACGGUCCUAUGGAUUGUAAACCUCUUUUGCCGGGGAGCAAAAAGCGGUACGUGUACCGCAUCGAGAGUACCCGGAGAAAAAGCAUCGGCUAACUCCGUGCCAGCAGCCGCGGUAAUACGGAGGAUGCGAGCGUUAUCCGGAUUUAUUGGGUUUAAAGGGAGCGUAGAUGGGUUGUUAAGUCAGUUGUGAAAGUUUGCGGCUCAACCGUAAAAUUGCAAUUGAUACUGGCAGCCUUGAGUACAGUUGAGGUAGGCGGAAUUCGUGGUGUAGCGGUGAAAUGCUUAGAUAUCACGAAGAACCCCGAUUGCGAAGGCAGCAUACCGGCUCCACACUGACGCUGAGGCACGAAAGCGUGGGUAUCGAACAGGAUUAGAUACCCUGGUAC
rnacentral:rRNA from 1 species